rnacentral:tRNA from 1 species
UCCCUGGUGGUCCAGUGGCUGAGACUCUGUGUUGCCAAUUCAGGGGCAUGGGUUCGAUCCCUGUUCAGGAAG